rnacentral:rRNA from 1 species
CACACAGGGAACUUAGAGUUUGAUCAUGGCUCAGGAUGAACGCUGGCGGCGUGCUUAACACAUGCAAGUCGAACGAUGAACCUCACUUGUGGGGGGAUUAGUGGCGAACGGGUGAGUAACACGUGAGUAACCUGCCCUUAACUCUGGGAUAAGCCUGGGAAACUGGGUCUAAUACCGGAUAUGACUUCUCAUCGCAUGGUGGGGGGUGGAAAGCUUUUGUGGUUUUGGAUGGACUCGCGGCCUAUCAGCUUGUUGGUGAGGUAAUGGCUCACCAAGGCGUCGACGGGUAGCCGGCCUGAGAGGGUGACCGGCCACACUGGGACUGAGACACGGCCCAGACUCCUACGGGAGGCAGCAGUGGGGAAUAUUGCACAAUGGGCGCAAGCCUGAUGCAGCAACGCCGCGUGAGGGAUGACGGCCUUCGGGUUGUAAACCUCUUUUAGCAGGGAAGAAGCGAAAGUGACGGUACCUGCAGAAAAAGCGCCGGCUAACUACGUGCCAGCAGCCGCGGUAA